rnacentral:rRNA from 1 species
UAGGGAAUCUUCCACAAUGGGCGAAAGCCUGAUGGAGCGACGCCGCGUGUGUGAUGAAGGGUUUCGGCUCGUAAAACACUGUUGUAAGAGAAGAAUGACAUUGAGAGUAACUGUUCCAUGUGUGACGGUAUCUUACCAGAAAGGAACGGCUAAAUACGCGCCAG